ACAGCAGUCGCCGCGGUAAUACGUAGGGUGCGAGCGUUAAUCGGAAUUACUGGGCGUAAAGCGUGCGCAGGCGGUUGUGUAAGUCAGAUGUGAAAUCCCCGGGCUCAACCUGGGAACUGCAUUUGAGACUGUAUGGCUAGAGUGUGUCAGAGGGGGGUAGAAUUCCACGUGUAGCAGUGAAAUGCGUAGAUAUGUGGAGGAAUACCGAUGGCGAAGGCAGCCCCCUGGGAUAACACUGACGCUCAUGCACGAAAGCGUGGGGAGCGAACAGGAUUAGAUACCCGUGUAGUCCCUGUCUCUUAUAC
rnacentral:rRNA from 1 species